ACGCUGGCGGCAGGCUUAACACAUGCAAGUCGAACGGUAACAGGAAUUAGCUUGCUAAUUUGCUGACGAGUGGCGGACGGGUGAGUAAUGCUUGGGAAUCUGGCUUAUGGAGGGGGAUAACUACGGGAAACUGUAGCUAAUACCGCGUAAAAUCUUCGGAUUAAAGGGUGGGACUUUCGAGCCACCUGCCAUAAGAUGAGCCCAAGUGGGAUUAGGUAGUUGGUUAGGUAAAGGCUGACCAAGCCGACGAUCUCUAGCUGGUCUGAGAGGAUGACCAGCCACACUGGAACUGAGACACGGUCCAGACUCCUACGGGAGGCAGCAGUGGGGAAUAUUGCACAAUGGGGGGAACCCUGAUGCAGCCAUGCCGCGUGAAUGAAGAAGGCCUUCGGGUUGUAAAGUUCUUUCGGUGACGAGGAAGGUUGAUAGGUUAAUAGCCUAUCAAAUUGACGUUAAUCACAGGAGAAGCACCGGCUAACUCCGUGCCAGCAGCCGCGGUAAUACGGGGGGUGCGAGCGUUAAUCGGAAUAACUGGGCGUAAAGGGCACGCAGGCGGUGACUUAAGUGAGAUGUGAAAGCCCCGAGCUUAACUUGGGAAUUGCAUUUCAUACUGGGUCGCUAGAGUACUUUAGGGAGGGGUAGAAUUCCACGUGUAGCGGUGAAAUGCGUAGAGAUGUGGAGGAAUACCGAAGGCGAAGGCAGCCCCUUGGGAAUGUACUGACGCUCAUGUGCGAAAGCGUGGGGAGCAAACAGGAUUAGAUACCCUGGUAGUCCACGCUGUAAACGAUGUCGAUUUGGGGAUUGGGCUUUGAGCUUGGUGCCCGUAGCUAACGUGAUAAAUCGACCGCCUGGGGAGUACGGCCGCAAGGUUAAAACUCAAAUGAAUUGACGGGGGCCCGCACAAGCGGUG
rnacentral:rRNA from 1 species